ACCCGGUGCAUAUCUACAUAAAAAAUAUUUUUUGUAAAAAUAUGGAAUUAGAAAAUGCUGUAUACUCUCAAAUUUCUUUGGUAAAUGAGGAAACAAGCGUAUUACAGAAACCGACUUUCAAAGAUGAUUUAAAGGUGUACAUUUUCUUUUUCAUUAUGACCAUCGUUGCUGGGUUGAUAGGUGGCUAUUUUUUAUCACAAUUUUUUUUAAGCAUAAAGGGGCGCACCUUACAAGCGUUUUUCCAUACAAAUAACCUGAGCUGAAAACUUUAGAAUGAGAUAUCCCUAAUCUUGAUUACUUAAUCUGAGUAUCCAA